UCCGGAGUAGCUCAGCUGGUCAGAGCACCUGACUGUUAAUCAGGGUGUCGUGGGUUCGAGUCCCACCUCCGGAG
rnacentral:tRNA from 1 species